GCUUCCAGGCCAAAUUGUGGCGUUUAUCGCCGCGUUUCCGAAAGGAAUAGGCUUGGGAGUUUUU
rnacentral:ncRNA from 1 species